AGUGAACGCUGGCGGUAGGCCUAACACAUGCAAGUCGAACGGCAGCACAGGAGAGCUUGCUCUCUGGGUGGCGAGUGGCGGACGGGUGAGGAAUACAUCGGAAUCUACUUUUUCGUGGGGGAUAACGUAGGGAAACUUACGCUAAUACCGCAUACGACCUACGGGUGAAAGCAGGGGAUCUUCGGACCUUGCGCGAUUGAAUGAGCCGAUGUCGGAUUAGCUAGUUGGCGGGGUAAAGGCCCACCAAGGCGACGAUCCGUAGCUGGUCUGAGAGGAUGAUCAGCCACACUGGAACUGAGACACGGUCCAGACUCCGACGGGAGGCAGCAGUGGGGAAUAUUGGACAAUGGGCGCAAGCCUGAUUCAGCCAUACCGCGUGGGUGAAGAAGGCCUUCGGGUUGUAAAGCCCUUUUGUUGGGAAAGAAAUCCAGCUGGUUAAUACCCGGUUGGGAUGACGGUACCCAAAGAAUAAGCACCGGCUAACUUCGUGCCAGCCGCCGCGGUAA
rnacentral:rRNA from 1 species